rnacentral:ncRNA from 1 species
CAACCUCAACUCAUAUGGGACUACCCCCUGAAUUUAAGCAUAUUAAUUAGGGGAGGAAAAGAAACUAACAAGGAUUUUCUUAGUAGCGGCGAGCGAAAAGAAAUCAGUUCAGCACUAAGUCACUUUGUCUAUAUGGCAAAUGUGAGAUGCAGUGUACGGAACAUCAACAUUCUAGUAUGAGAAGUUAACGAUUUAAGUCCUUCUUAAAUGAGGCCAUUUACCCAUAGAGGGUGCCAGGCCCGUAUAACGUUAAUGAUUACUAGAUGGUGUUUCCAAAGAGUCGUGUUGCUUGAUAGUGCAGCACUAAGUGGGUGGUAAACUCCAUCUAAACUAAAUAUAACCAUGAGACCGAUAGUAAACAAGUACCGUGAGGGAAAGUUGAAAAGAACUCUGAAUAGAGAGUUAAAUAGUACGUGAAACUGCUUAGAGGUUAAGCCCGAUGAACCUGAAUAUCCGUUAUGGAAAAUUCAUCAUUAGAAUUGUAAUAUUUUAAACAAUAUUAUAAUAAUAGUGUGCAUUUUUUCCAUAUAAGGACAUUGUAAUCUAUUAGCAUAAAUAUUUAUCAUAAAAUUAUGUCUGAUUGCUUAUUUGAAUUAUAUGCUUGGCAUUUUAACAUAAAAUAAAAGAUAUAAAUUUGAUAAAGUGCUGAUAGAUUUAUAUGAUUACAGUGCGUUAAUUUUUCGGAAUUAUAUAAUGGCAUAAUUAUCAUUGAUAUUUGUGUUUAUUAUAUGCAUUUGUAUGAUUAACAAUGCGAAAGAUUCAGGAUACCUUCGGGA